CUGGGAGGACCAUCUCCUAAGGCUAAAUACUCUCUAGUGACCGAUAGUGAACCAGUACCGUGAGGGAAAGGUGAAAAGCACCCCGGAAGGGGAGUGAAAUAGAACCUGAAACCGUGUGCUUACAAGUAGUCAGAGCCCGUUAAUGGGUGAUGGCGUGCCUUUUGUAGAAUGAACCGGCGAGUUACGAUUUGAUGCAAGGUUAAGCAGUAAAUGUGGAGCCGUAGCGAAAGCGAGUCUGAAUAGGGCGUUUAGUAUUUGGUCGUAGACCCGAAACCAGGUGAUCUACCCUUGGUCAGGUUGAAGUUCAGGUAACACUGAAUGGAGGACCGAACCGACUUACGUUGAAAAGUGAGCGGAUGAACUGAGGGUAGCGGAGAAAUUCCAAUCGAACCUGGAGAUAGCUGGUUCUCUCCGAAAUAGCUUUAGGGCUAGCCUCAAGUGAUGAUUAUUGGAGGUAGAGCACUGUUUGGACGAGGGGCCCCUCUCGGGUUACCGAAUUCAGACAAACUCCGAAUGCCAAUUAAUUUAACUUGGGAGUCAGAACAUGGGUGAUAAGGUCCGUGUUCGAAAGGGAAACAGCCCAGACCACCAGCUAAGGUCCCAAAAUAUAUGUUAAGUGGAAAAGGAUGUGGCGUUGCCCAGACAACUAGGAUGUUGGCUUAGAAGCAGCCAUCAUUUAAAGAGUGCGUAAUAGCUCACUAGUCGAGUGACACUGCGCCGAAAAUGUACCGGGGCUAAACAUAUUACCGAAGCUGUGGAUUGUCCUUUGGACAAUGGUAGGAGAGCGUUCUAAGGGCGUUGAAGCAUGAUCGUAAGGACAUGUGGAGCGCUUAGAAGUGAGAAUGCCGGUGUGAGUAGCGAAAGACGGGUGAGAAUCCCGUCCACCGAUUGACUAAGGUUUCCAGAGGAAGGCUCGUCCGCUCUGGGUUAGUCGGGUCCUAAGCUGAGGCCGACAGGCGUAGGCGAUGGAUAACAGGUUGAUAUUCCUGUACCACCUAUAAUCGUUUUAAUCGAUGGGGGGGACGCAGUAGGAUAGGCGAAGCGUGCGAUUGGAUUGCACGUCUAAGCAGUAAGGCUGAGUAUUAGGCAAAUCCGGUACUCGUUAAGGCUGAGCUGUGAUGGGGAGAAGACAUUGUGUCUUCGAGUCGUUGAUUUCACACUGCCGAGAAAAGCCUCUAGAUAGAAAAUAGGUGCCCGUACCGCAAACCGACACAGGUAGUCAAGAUGAGAAUUCUAAGGUGAGCGAGCGAACUCUCGUUAAGGAACUCGGCAAAAUGACCCCGUAACUUCGGGAGAAGGGGUGCUCUUUAGGGUUAACGCCCAGAAGAGCCGCAGUGAAUAGGCCCAAGCGACUGUUUAUCAAAAACACAGGUCUCUGCUAAACCGUAAGGUGAUGUAUAGGGGCUGACGCCUGCCCGGUGCUGGAAGGUUAAGAGGAGUGGUUAGCUUCUGCGAAGCUACGAAUCGAAGCCCCAGUAAACGGCGGCCGUAACUAUAACGGUCCUAAGGUAGCGAAAUUCCUUGUCGGGUAAGUUCCGACCCGCACGAAAGGCGUAACGAUUUGGGCACUGUCUCAACGAGAGACUCGGUGAAAUCAUAGUACCUGUGAAGAUGCAGGUUACCCGCGACAGGACGGAAAGACCCCGUGGAGCUUUACUGUAGCCUGAUAUUGAAAUUCGGCACAGCUUGUACAGGAUAGGUAGGAGCCUUUGAAACGUGAGCGCUAGCUUACGUGGAGGCGCUGGUGGGAUACUACCCUAGCUGUGUUGGCUUUCUAACCCGCACCACUUAUCGUGGUGGGAGACAGUGUCAGGCGGGCAGUUUGACUGGGGCGGUCGCCUCCUAAAAGGUAACGGAGGCGCUCAAAGGUUCCCUCAGAAUGGUUGGAAAUCAUUCAUAGAGUGUAAAGGCAUAAGGGAGCUUGACUGCGAGACCUACAAGUCGAGCAGGGUCGAAAGACGGACUUAGUGAUCCGGUGGUUCCGCAUGGAAGGGCCAUCGCUCAACGGAUAAAAGCUACCCCGGGGAUAACAGGCUUAUCUCCCCCAAGAGUUCACAUCGACGGGGAGGUUUGGCACCUCGAUGUCGGCUCAUCGCAUCCUGGGGCUGUAGUCGGUCCCAAGGGU
rnacentral:rRNA from 1 species